UACGUAGGGAGCAAGCGUUGUCCGGAAUCAUUGGGCGUAAAGUGCGCGUAGGUGGCCCGGUAAGUCCGCUCUGAAAGUCACAGGCUCAACCUGUGAAAGCGGGUGGAUACUGCCGGGCUAGAGUCCGGAAGAGGCGAGUGGAAUUCCUGGUGUAGCGGUGGAAUGCGCAGAUAUCAGGAGGAACACCAACGGCGAAGGCAGCUCGCUGGGACGGUACUGACACUGAGGCGCGAAAGCGUGGGGAGCGAACAGG
rnacentral:rRNA from 1 species